rnacentral:rRNA from 1 species
GAUGAACGCUGGCGGCGUGCCUAAUACAUGCAAGUCGAGCGAACAGAUGAGGAGCUUGCUCCUCUGACGUUAGCGGCGGACGGGUGAGUAACACGUGGAUAACCUACCUAUAAGACUGGGAUAACUUCGGGAAACCGGAGCUAAUACCGGAUAAUAUAUUGAACCGCAUGGUUCAAUAGUGAAAGACGGUUUUGCUGUCACUUAUAGAUGGAUCCGCGCCGCAUUAGCUAGUUGGUAAGGUAACGGCUUACCAAGGCAACGAUGCGUAGCCGACCUGAGAGGGUGAUCGGCCACACUGGAACUGAGACACGGUCCAGACUCCUACGGGAGGCAGCAGUAGGGAAUCUUCCGCAAUGGGCGAAAGCCUGACGGAGCAACGCCGCGUGAGCGAUGAAGGUCUUCGGAUCGUAAAACCCUGUUAUUAGGGAAGAACAAAUGUGUAAGUAACUAUGCACGUCUUGACGGUACCUAAUCAGAAAGCCACGGCUAACUACGUG